rfam:Candidatus Chisholmbacteria bacterium RIFCSPLOWO2_01_FTLL_49_14 rifcsplowo2_01_scaffold_5819, whole genome shotgun sequence.
GGACCCGUGGUGUAGUCUGGCCUAACACGCCUCCCUGUCAAGGAGGAGAUCGCCGGUCCGAAUCCGGUCGGGUCCG